UGAAAUAAUUUAGAAAAUCAUGAAACAACAAAAUUUUUGCUUACAAAUCAUACUGAAAUGAUAUUGAAAUUUUAAAUUUCUCACACAAUGGAUUGGUGUGUAUUACUUAAAAUGUCUAAAUGCCCGACUGACUACAAGACAUUUACAAUUCAGCGAUUAUUAUUAUUAUCCCUCUCUUGUUUUGGGCCCUCAACAGGCAUGUUCCGCGAUGCCAUGGAGACAAGGAGAUACCGUAAUUAUUUAGUCCGCCUACGACCGUUCCUGUUGGAAUUAUGUUUGUAACCACCGAUGAGUCUUGUCCUGGAGAAGAUGAAAAUUUUUUGGUUUCGGCGCCGUUAAUUGUUUAUGGACCGUUUUAGUUCUCCAUAAUAAGUAAAAGCAAUGGACGAACAAGUUCCGAAGCGAGAUGUUUUGCUCGUUAUCAGUUGGCGGCAUGCCUGUAAAAAUUAGAUAACCGCCAGCCGGCUUUGUGACCGAAAACGUGUAAUUAACAUAAAGCUAAUUAAUGUAAAGAGUUCAUGAGCUUCCAUUUGACCCUUCGAGUAUGUCUAAUUAGCAUGCACUAAUUAAACGAGUUGUAGUAAAGGAGCAUCUACCGACAUUUGGUGUCAAAUUGUUCGCGCUUAAUUAACAAAUCGAUUGCCAGAUGUUCGGGAAUUUUAGCACGAACAGGAACCCAGUAAUUAAUUAAAAAUCGAAUUGAUUGGUUUCGAUUUCGUAUUGAAUAAGCGACGAAUUGGAUUUUCCCUGUUCCACUUCUACCAAAUUGGGUUUUCUUUAUAAGGUAAACGCUCAAUUUUGGAAGCGUUCUACUUGCCGUAGAAUAUCUUUUGCCAUUUUUGGGUGCCGUAAGUAUGAUUGAUCUUUUGUUUGUACCGUUUUCCAUUUAAUUAUCAUUUUAUUUAGUUUUGACCUUAAGUUUAACGUACCGUUUCUUUUACUUAACUUUGCACCAUUUUGCCCGAAUUAAGGAAAAUUACCGUCAGGGCCAUAGGCCAUGCUUUGUUUUAGGAUUGCCGAAGUACCGUUGCCAUUUGCUGAACCUGACCGCAGAAUUGCUGGAGUUAACAAGUCCGAUUGAGGCUACCGAGACCGUAGGUCUUUACGUGAUUACCGCCGACCUCGUCCAGGCGCGAGAUUUUCGUCUGGUGGCACUCGAGUCCGUCCGUCCCCUGUACCGCCGUUUCGUCGACAACUGAUUACCGCCGACUACCGCUUGAAGAAUUACAACAUACUGUGCAUUAUAAUAGCCCAAGUUCGUCGGAAGUUUGUCUUCUGGAGAUAGCACAGAUUUUAAAUGUGAAACUAUUUUACCAAUUCGGUAAGGUAAAACGUCGAGUCAAACAGGCUCUGCGCCAAAGCCUAAGGCUGUGUCUGGGUCAUUGGCUCAGGGAGGCAACCCGAUGUCAGGGACCAAACCUCUCAGAUCGGAGGGAAGCACUCCAGAGUCUGGCUUAGGGCAACAUUGGAAGAAGCCUAGAGCGCUAAGGAUGGUCAUGGGGUCGGUAUCAAACCCAGAGGUGGACAUCAUUGAGCGCAAUCAAGAUGUAUUAUUGCUGCAUUGAAUGCAGUUGUCGACGAGAUGGAGGGAGGUUCCUUUCCUCGGCUGGCAAGAUUCCACUGGAAUCCGAAGGGUACCAUUGUGGCCGAAUGCUAGGGAAGGAGGUAACCUAGUAGAUCAAUGACGGACAAGCAACUACAUUGGAGAUCUAUCUCACAAAAACCAGUUGACUUUAGACAAAAAAAUUGCCAUAAAGUAUUCACCACCCUAAAACGCUCUCAUACUGAAAGCACUUCUCAGAGACUGAGCAGUAACAUUAAUACUGCAAUUUUUUCUGCUGAUUCCACUAAGGCAUGCAAGUACUUGCAGAAACAGUAUAAACCUGGAUGAGAUACGAUAAAUAGCUGAAUGGUCCAAGAAUUCGGAUUUGAUUAAUAUUACAAUACACCGAAUUAGCCAAAGUCAUUGUUUCAUGCCUUAAUUUAGGAAAUGUAUAUGUUAAAUAAGUGCAUUAUUUUCACUGCGAUGUUUGUAACAUACCAACAUACUGUUCUUUAAAAUAUAGGCUCGCAUAUAGGUUACCUAUAAUAGUUAAGCAAAUAUACCCUUGUUUUAAAAAUGUUUGCACUCUAGUUGUGGCAUUAUGAAGUUCAGUUCCAUUCGAGCCGAGGUUCCAUUGUUUAUUAUAAUAUU